GGAAUAUUGGACAAUGGGCGCAAGCCUGAUCCAGCCAUGCCGCGUGAGUGAUGAAGGCCUUAGGGUUGUAAAGCUCUUUCGCUAGGGAAGAUAAUGACGGUACCUAGAUAAGAAGCCCCGGCUAACUUCGUGCCAGCAGCCGCGGUAAUACGAAGGGGGCUAGCGUUGUUCGGAAUUACUGGGUGUAAAGCGCACGUAGGCGGACUUGUCAGUCAGGGGUGAAAUCCCGAGGCUUAACCUCGGAACUGCCUUUGAUACUGCAAGUCUUGAGGAUGAGAGAGGUGAGUGGAACUGCGAGUGUAGAGGUGAAAUUCGUAGAUAUUCGCAAGAACACCAGUGGCGAAGGCGGCUCACUGGCUCAUUUCUGACGCUGAGGUGCGAAAGCGUGGGGAGCAA
rnacentral:rRNA from 1 species